rnacentral:lncRNA from 1 species
GCAGGUGGCAGAACCAGGGUCUUAGGGUCUUGUUUUACUUGAGAAAUGUAAGAUAUGGACGUUCUUGCACCAAAUGCUGUCAUCCCAAGGGCUAUGAGUAGGCCUGAAAUUCCAACAGGGAACAGACACCUGAAGAGAAGGUUAUGCACAAAGUAAGAGUGAACGAAUGUCAGAGGUGAACUUCAUCUACUACACCAUGGCUCCACUGGAGGGUUGUAAUUUUCUCUCACAGCAGGGUAUUAGAAGGAGAUUGGAAAAUAGCAGCUGGACUCCUAUUUGUCACUAGGAAAGGGGAAGCAUUCCCUUUGAUUUAACUCCGUUUCCCAAUCCAAUAUUUUUUUAAGCCCAGAAAGACCCUUAUUGCCUCUCUCUCCAGGUGGAGUGGGGGCAUAGAUAUUCUUCUUCAAAAUCAGACAGGAUUUGCUAAAUAAAUAAUAUUCCUUUAAAUAAACCUUGAAAGAUAUACGUCAGCUGUGUACGUUUCCACAGGUCUGGUGACAGUGCAGUGAAUGUAUCACCCGAGUGACGUGGGUCUUGUGAUCUACAGAUGUAAUACUUCAUCUGGACCCGUGUGACAUACUAUCAGGUCUCGUCUUUGAGGGCUCGCUCCAGGUUGCCCAGGUUUAUUGGUCUUCCUUUGUGUUCCCAUACUACUUUAUUCUCCUUAAUGCUUCCUCUUGGACAUGAAUUUCAGACACCAACUUGAAGUUGUUGCCUUGUUUGGCUGUUUUCCUUCUAGAUCCUGAGGUGUGUGGAGGCAAGACCAUAGCUUAAUCGUUGCUUGUUCUCUAUAUUUUGUCUAAGAUUCUGGCAUGGAACACACACUUCAUAAGUAUUUGGUGAAUGAAUGAAUAAAUGAUUUAAUGUAUCAAUUAACAUACACGUGAAGGGUGACAACAUUAAGAUGUCUGAAAAAGACACAAGCAAAAUUUUCUAAAACAUAUUUUUUACUGUUUAUGAUUUAUAAAUUAUGUUUUCCAUAUAGAUUUUUAGGCAUUUAUAAGUAUCUUUUUUUGAUACUUUUGGUUCAAACUGUAUUUUUCAUAUAAAUGAUUGCUUCUAAAAAUACUUUCUAUAGUUAUGUAAAGUCUAAUUUCAAAACUGAAUUCAUAUUGAAAGCUUGUAUACACCAAACCCAUAAUUUUAUUGAAAUAUUCCAAAAAAUGUGCCUUCACCAUAGGUCUUAAAUAACAUUUUAAAAAUGUCAAUAUUUAUCUUUUAAAAAUAGAAAUCAUGUUUGUGAUUUUUUGUUGCUAUUGUUUUUAGGAAUUAACCUGCUCUUCUACCCUACGUGUAAAACAAUUUUAAUUUGUGUAACCUUUUUUUUGUAAUAAUGCGGACGUAUGGUCAUUCAUGUGAUAAAUCAUAUCUGAUUUCUGAAAUAU